GAUGAACGCUAGCGGCAGGCCUAAUACAUGCAAGUCGAACGGGAUCCAGAUCAAAGCUUGCUCUGGUUUGGUGAGAGUGGCGUACGGGUGCGUAACGCGUGAGCAACCUACCCUUGUCAGGGGGAUAGCCCGGCGAAAGUCGGAUUAAUACCGCAUGACAUCAUUGAGAGGCAUCUUUCGAUGAUCAAAGAUUUAUCGGACAAGGAUGGGCUCGCGUGACAUUAGCUAGUUGGUAAGGUAACGGCUUACCAAGGCUACGAUGUCUAGGGGCUCUGAGAGGAGAAUCCCCCACACUGGUACUGAGACACGGACCAGACUCCUACGGGAGGCAGCAGUAAGGAAUAUUGGUCAAUGGACGGAAGUCUGAACCAGCCAUGCCGCGUGCAGGAAGACGGCCCUAUGGGUUGUAAACUGCUUUUAUACGGGAACAAACGUCGGUACGUGUACCGGUCUGAGUGUACCGUAAGAAUAAGGAUCGGCUAACUCCGUG
rnacentral:rRNA from 1 species